rnacentral:rRNA from 1 species
UACGAAGGGGGCGAGCGUUGUUCGGAUUUACUGGGCGUAAAGGGCGCGCAGGCGGUCUUGAAAGUCAGGCGUGAAAGCCCCGGGCUUAACCUGGGAAUUGCGCUUGAUACUCUGGGACUGGAGUACGGGAGAGGAGAGUGGAAUUCCCAGUGUAGAGGUGAAAUUCGUAGAUAUUGGGAAGAACACCAGUGGCGAAGGCGGCUCUCUGGACCGUAACUGACGCUGAGGCGCGAAAGCGUGGGGAGCAAACAGG